rnacentral:rRNA from 1 species
AACGCUGGCGGCGUGCCUAAUACAUGCAAGUCGAACGCACUCUCGUUUAGAUUGAAGGAGCUUGCUCCUGAUUGAUAAACAUUUGAGUGAGUGCGGACGGGUGAGUAACACGUGGGUAACCUGCCCUAAAGUGGGGGAUAACAUUUGGAAACAGAUGCUAAUACCGCAUAAAACCUAACACCGCAUGGUGUAGGGUUGAAAGAUGGUUUCGGCUAUCACUUUAGGAUGGACCCGCGGUGCAUUAGUUAGUUGGUGAGGUAAAAGGCUCACCAAGACCGUGAUGCAUAGCCGACCUGAGAGGGUAAUCGGCCACACUGGGACUGAGACACGGCCCAGACUCCUACGGGAGGCAGCAGUAGGGAAUCUUCCACAAUGGACGAAAGUCUGAUGGAGCAACGCCGCGUGAGUGAAAGAAGGUUUUCGGAUCGUAAAACUCUGUUGUUGGGGAAGAAUGUAUCUGAUAGUAACUGAUCAGGUAGUGACGGUAUCCAACCAGAAAGCCACGGCUAACUACGUG